rnacentral:lncRNA from 1 species
GGGAGCAGGGGCUGGGGACUUGGUAUGAGGCACAGAAGUGCACAUCUAUGAGAACUCCUGUGAUUAUGACUUUCAACACCCAGGCCUGGGCCUCUGGGACCAUGGUGGAGAGCAGGCUGUCCCACAAAGCAGGUUCCUAUGCACUUCAUGAGGGACCCUUGAGGAAUCUUAAACUGCCAGGUCACCAGCGAAUCUGAACCAAAGACAUGUUACCACCAUCGAAAAAGAUCCAUUUGCUUCAAAUUACCCUUUGAUUUUAAAAUGUCUUCACUGAGCAACAGAUGUCCUGGGUGCCAGUGGCUGGUUCCUACCUAUCUUUAACACUCAUCCCUGGCUGUGUUCUUCUGAAGUUUGGAGUCAAGAUGGCACUGCAGGAGCUUUAUAUGCCUAAGUGUGGCCAUGGAAAAGACAACUAGAGUUCCUCAGAUCUUCCAGAUAUUCCCCUACAUUAUCAAGACUCUCUUGCAGAAUGAGCAGAAUUCCAGAUGUUCCCCUACAUCACCAAGACUCUCUUGCAGAAUGAGCAGAAUCUGCACUGUGUCACUUCUGGAUGGAGGUAGCUAGAAAUCAGUGUGCUCUCUCCUACGCCCUUUCUCCCACUGCACCCCACUGGAAUACCAAGCAUUCCAAAUGGCACAGUGAGAAGCUUCAAAAGGGACUGGCCCAUAUUAGACUGUGAUGUGAAUGAAAAAUAUGUAUUUAUUGUAAUCAGUCACUGGUAUUUUAGACAUUUGUAUUACUAUUUAAUUACACACCUAUACUACUUAAGCCAACAUUCUUA